rnacentral:lncRNA from 1 species
GAAGAAAUAGUUUAUUGCCCGUAUCACUUAGUUUCCUGCCUAGCAAUAAAGAUACAAUGUUUAGCGAGAAGGAGGAGACUCCACCCAAAGUGAGGAUUCACCACGAUUUGCAGUCGAACUAGAGAUUACAAAUCAGUGAAACAGGAGCCGGCACCAGAAACAAGCCACAGGAUUCCUAAGGAACAGUGGUGGCUGAAGCUUUUCCCCCCCGAUGAAGAUCCUGGCCACGUAUAAGACCAGCUACGACGUGUCUGACUCUUGCCUGCUGGAGCACAUGGUCCGCAACAUCAGGGCCAAGGAGUUGGACACAUCAUAGAACUGCAUAAGAGCUCUUCACUUUCUGGAGGACAAAGAUUUGAAAUCAGUGGAAUUAGAGUAUAAUAGCUAAGAAGAUGGAGAAAACACCUGUCUCCGGAUUACAUCUUCAAACUAAGGGCAACCAUGGCAUCCAUGACAAGGAGAAGUGUCCAUCCAUGAUGUAUACAGUUAUGUCUCUGUCUCCUGUUCCACAUUACACCUACCAACUACCUUGAUCUGGAUUUUACUAACCACCACUACCUUGGAUUCCCCUGUUUACCCUGUUCUACUCAGCCAACUCCAACAUCAGUCUCC